AUUGAACGCUGGCGGCAUGCUUUACACAUGCAAGUCGAACGGUAACAGGGUGCUUGCACCGCUGACGAGUGGCGAACGGGUGAGUAAUGCAUCGGAAUGUACCGUGUAAUGGGGGAUAGCUCGGCGAAAGCCGGAUUAAUACCGCAUACGCCCUGAGGGGGAAAGUGGGGGACCGAAAGGCCUCACGUUAUACGAGCAGCUGAUGUCUGAUUAGCUAGUUGGUGAGGUAAAGGCUCACCAAGGCGUCGAUCAGUAGCGGGUCUGAGAGGAUGAUCCGCCACACUGGGACUGAGACACGGCCCAGACUCCUACGGGAGGCAGCAGUGGGGAAUUUUGGACAAUGGGCGCAAGCCUGAUCCAGCCAUGCCGCGUGUCUGAAGAAGGCCUUCGGGUUGUAAAGGACUUUUGUCCGGGAGCAAAUCCUAGUGGUUAAUAACCGCUGGGUCUGAGAGUACCGGAAGAAUAAGCACCGGCUAACUACGUG
rnacentral:rRNA from 1 species